GAGUGACAGAGGUAGAGGCUCCAUUCAGUGCCGAGUUGACUUACUCACUGUUGGUCUACUUCCCGCCCCAUUAGCUGGCAUGCCGCAGAGAAAGAGGAGUUUCACUUUUGGAGCGUAUGGAGGAGUGGACAAGACUUUCUCCAGGGCCAGAAGCAUAUGGAAACAAGAUGGGGGUGAACCCCGGAUCUCAACCACACUAGAUCCUCCGUUGUUACAGCCCCCACUGUCCCCGCUCCCGUACACCGCUCCA